UACGAAGGGGGCUAGCGUUGCUCGGAAUCACUGGGCGUAAAGCGCACGUAGGCGGACUCUUAAGUCGGGGGUGAAAGCCCAGGGCUCAACCCUGGAACUGCCUUCGAUACUGGGAGUCUUGAGUGUGGAAGAGGUUGGUGGAACUGCGAGUGUAGAGGUGAAAUUCGUAGAUAUUCGCAAGAACACCAGUGGCGAAGGCGGCCAACUGGUCCACUACUGACGCUGAGGUGCGAAAGCGUGGGGAGCAAACAGG
rnacentral:rRNA from 2 species